UACGGGGGGAGCAAGCGUUGUUCGGAUUUACUGGGCGUAAAGGGCGCGUAGGCGGCCACCGCAAGUCGACUGUGAAAUCUCCGGGCUUAACCCGGAAAGGUCAGCCGAUACUGCGGGGCUAGAGUGCAGAAGGGGCAACUGGGAAUUCGUCGGUGUAGCGGUGAAAUGGCGUAGGAUAAUCGAGAGGAACACCUGCGGCGAAGGCGGGGUUGCUGG
rnacentral:rRNA from 1 species